ACAGGGAUUGCCUCAGUAACGGCGAGUGAAGCGGCAACAGCUCAAAUUUGAAAUCUGGCUCUUUCAGGGUCCGAGUUGUAAUUUGUAGAAGAUGCUUCGGGUGUGGCUCCGGUCUAAGUUCCUUGGAACAGGACGUCAUAGAGGGUGAGAAUCCCGUAUGUGACCGGCUGCCUCCGCCCGUGUGAAGCUCUUUCGACGAGUCGAGUUGUUUGGGAAUGCAGCUCAAAAUGGGUGGUAAAUUUCAUCUAAAGCUAAAUAUUGGCCAGAGACCGAUAGCGCACAAGUAGAGUGAUCGAAAGAUGAAAAGCACUUUGGAAAGAGAGUUAAACAGUACGUGAAAUUGUUGAAAGGGAAGCGCUUGCAAUCAGACUUGCGCGCGGCUGAUCAUCCGGGGUUCUCCCCGGUGCACUCGGCCGCGCUCAGGCCAGCAUCGGUUUCGGUGGUUGGAUAAAGGCCUUGGGAAUGUGGCUCCUUUCGGGGAGUGUUAUAGCCCUCGGCGCAAUGCAGCCCACCGGGACCGAGGACCGCGCUUCGGCUAGGAUGCUGGCGUAAUGGUUGCAAGCGACCCGUCUUGAAACACGGACCAAGGAGUCUAACAUUUAUGCGAGUGUUUGGGUGUUAAACCCAUACGCGCAAUGAAAGUGAACGGAGGUGAGAACCCUUAAGGGUGCAUCAUCGACCGAUCCUGAUGUCUUCGGAUGGAUUUGAGUAAGAGCAUAACUGUUGGGACCCGAAAGAUGGUGAACUAUGCCUGAAUAGGGUGAAGCCAGAGGAAACUCUGGUGGAGGCUCGCAGCGGUUCUGACGUGCAAAUCGAUCGUCAAAUUUGGGUAUAGGGGCGAAAGACUAAUCGA
rnacentral:rRNA from 1 species